rnacentral:rRNA from 1 species
UCUACGGGCGGCUGCAGUGGGGAAUAUUGCACAAUGGGGGAAACCCUGAUGCAGCGACGCCGCGUGAGCGAUGAAGUAUUUCGGUAUGUAAAGCUCUAUCAGCAGGGAAGAAAAUGACGGUACCUGACUAAGAAGCCCCGGCUAACUACGUGCCAGCAGCCGCGGGAAUACGUAGGGGGCAAGCGUUAUCCGGAUUUACUGGGUGUAAAGGGAGCGUAGACGGCUUGGCAAGCCAGAUGUGAAAGGCUGGGGCUCAACCCCAGGACUGCAUUUGAAACUGUCAUGCUAGAGUGUCGGAGAGGCAGGCGGAAUUCCUAGUGUAGCGGUGAAAUGCGUAGAUAUCUGGAGGAACAUCAGUGGCGAAGGCGACUAUCUGGCACAUAACUGACGCUGAGGAGCGAAAGCGUGGGUAGCAAACAGGAUUAGAUACCCCUGUAGUC